CUAAUUGGCAGAAUAUUGCAUUAAAGUUAGAUUUUAAUCACACUAU
rnacentral:tRNA from 1 species